rnacentral:rRNA from 1 species
AGUGGCGGACGGGUGAGUAACGCGUAAGAAUCUAACUUCAGGACGGGGACAACAGUGGGAAACGACUGCUAAUACCCGAUGUGCCGCGAGGUGAAACCUAAUUGGCCUGAAGAAGAGCUUGCGUCUGAUUAGCUAGUCGGUGGGGUAAGAGCCUACCAAGGCGACGAUCAGUAGCUGGUCUGAGAGGAUGAGCAGCCACACUGGGACUGAGACACGGCCCAGACUCCUACGGGAGGCAGCAGUGGGGAAUUUUCCGCAAUGGGCGAAAGCCUGACGGAGCAACGCCGCGUGAGGGAGGAAGGUCUUUGGAUUGUAAACCUCUUUUCUCAAGGAAGAAGUUCUGACGGUACUUGAGGAAUCAGCCUCGGCUAACUCCGUGCCAGCAGCCGCGGUAAUACGGGGGAGGCAAGCGUUAUCCGGAAUUAUUGGGCGUAAAGCGUCCGCAGGUGGUCAGCCAAGUCUGCCGUCAAAUCAGGUUGCUUAACGACCUAAAGGCGGUGGAAACUGGCAGACUAGAGAGCAGUAGGGGUAGCAGGAAUUCCCAGUGUAGCGGUGAAAUGCGUAGAGAUUGGGAAGAACAUCGGUGGCGAAAGCGUGCUACUGGGCUGUAUCUGACACUCAGGGACGAAAGCUAGGGGAGCGAAAGGGAUUAGAUACCCCUGUAGUCCUAGCCGUAAACGAUGGAUACUAGGCGUGGCUU